UUCUGAUUACUGCAUUCAACCAUUUUCUCUGGUCAUAUCCAUACAGUUAUGGUUACGAUAGGUGAUCCUGUCCUUUUUCACAGCACUAUAAAAGCUGUGAUAGCAUAACCAUUUUGCUCAAAGCUUGAUAUAGCCAGGUUUAAUCUGGAUGUGUAGUCCUGUUUACCUUCUAAAGAUUAUAUAAAUGGCUAAAUGGUGAAAUUUGGGCUCAUUAAAUACACCUGUCAUGUAAUUAGUUAAAAGUAGGAAAAAUUAUAAAAUCACAUUUGGAGUUACUUGUCUUCUUUCUUCAGCAAAGACAAUACAUAGUACCUUGGGUGAGAGAAGAUUAUUUUGCUUUCUGAGUGAGUUCCUCAGCUGGAAAAUCAGAAUGCAGUUUUGAGCUGACAAGCGAGCCUGGUGAAAAGAAAAGGCCACGUUUCUGGAUUUUCAGCUGAAGUAACCCAGCCGUUUACAGAAGCAGCAGCCGAAUGACAGUUUCCAUGACAGCUGGUGACAUGGUUGCUGAUGAAAGGCCAGGCAUGGCUCUCUGAACACGUGUGCGCUGAAUUCAGCUUACACAGGAGCAAAG